GAAUCUUUUGAGGGCAGGUUGAUCUUGGCAAAGCCAUUUUCAAAACAAAAGCCGCGGUUUUCAAGUUAUGAUGACGUUUGUUAUACAUUAUAUUUAGUUACACAUUAUACUUGGUUACAAAGCGUUGGUUAAUUUAAGUUGACUUUUCUCGUUAGCAACACGCUAAAGUUUUGUUCACUCCGUCCGAGGGCAGCGUCUCAUGAACAGACAGACAGAAAUGUCAGAGCUUGGUCUAGGACGAAAACGAAGAAUUGACAUCUGGUCAAACUUCACAUAUGACAACAAGGACAACAAGAGCGUCUGUAAACCAUGUGGAGUAAAAAUCGCUGGGAAAAACACCACCAACUUGAAGCGACAUUUACAGACGGUUUAUCCAGAAAUCCACACCAAGAUACAGAAGAUGUCUGAUGACCAUGGGCCAGGUGGAAAUAAAGCUAGUGAUGCUACUAGUACAACACAGCAGCAGGCCAUCUCAGAUUUCCUAAGGUCUUCAAAGUACAAGACUGAAUCAAAGGAACAACAGACCAAGGAGCAGGCCAUAGCUAGAUGGAUAGGACGGACAGGUUUACCACACACAAAAAUUGAGGAUGAGGACUUUGUGCUAAUGAUGGGGAUGAUAGAUGGGAGACUAACAGUUCCAAAGAAAACUAAAAUUAGCAAUUUAAUUAAAACACUGUAUGAAUGCUGUACUUUAUCUUGAAAGAAUGUCAUAUGCGUUUCAUAUAAUUCAAGGACAAUGCAUAUCUUUUUCAGGGAGCAUGUAUAUUGUUCAGGGAGAGCAGGUCUUGUGGUUAUUUUUUGUGAAAA